rnacentral:rRNA from 1 species
CCUACGGGCGGCAGCAGUGGGGAAUAUUGGACAAUGGGGGGAACCCUGAUCCAGCCAUGCCGCGUGUGUGAAGAAGGCCCUCGGGUUGUAAAGCACUUUCAGUGAGGAAGAACGCCUGGUGGUUAAUACCCAUCAGGAAAGACAUCACUCACAGAAGAAGCACCGGCUAACUCCGUGCCAGCAGCCGCGGUAAUACGGAGGGUGCGAGCGUUAAUCGGAAUUACUGGGCGUAAAGCGCGCGUAGGUGGCUUGAUAAGCCGGUUGUGAAAGCCCCGGGCUCAACCUGGGAACGGCAUCCGGAACUGUCAAGCUAGAGUGCAGGAGAGGAAGGUAGAAUUCCCGGUGUAGCGGUGAAAUGCGUAGAGAUCGGGAGGAAUACCAGUGGCGAAGGCGGCCUUCUGGACUGACACUGACGCUGAGGUGCGAAAGCGUGGGUAGCAAACAGGAUUAGAUACCCUUGUAGUC